AGAGAUGUUGAGAAGGCAAAAUUGAUGGGCAUUGGCAACAGAUUAGAUAUGGGGACAGAGUGAGAGAUAGUGAGGCUUGAAGGAUGACAUCUAGUUUGUGAGGCUGAGGAACUGAGAAGAUGGUAUUGCCCUCUAUAGAAAUACAUGAGCUGCAUACCAAACAUGAGAGCAUAAAACAGGAAGAUGCACAAGCAGUGAUACAUAGAAAAGGCAAUUGAAUCGGGGGAAAAUUACUCCUAAGCCAAGGCAUUUGUCACGUCUCAGUGUUAAACCAAGACAGAUGGUUCUAGCAGUAUCUUCUUUAAGCUUUAUGAUCAAGUCAGCUCAGCAUACAGCUCAACUAUGGAAACAACAACAGCAGCAAAAAAGAGUUUAAAACAAAACCACAGGAUGGGAAAUGCUUCCUUCUCCAUAUUCCAGGCACAAACAUUCUACUUGUACAACAGAGUCUGGAAAAGAAGCCAAUGACAGUUAUGAUACCAGUGACUCACCUUACAGAAUCCAAACACAGAAGGUAAGAAAGCCAAGAAGUUGGAGUCUUUCUUUUAUCAAGAAGAAAGGAGUGAUUACACACUAAAUACGAUCACAUGAGGAAAAGUCCAUGAGAAUGAAAGGACAAAGGGGCCCUGUGGGAACUUACAUGGAAGAACUGAAAAAGUGACAUGAUACUUUAUGUGAUGAAAUUAAUUCAUUUCAAUGUAAGUAGAGCCUAAGCAAGU